rnacentral:rRNA from 1 species
GCUUACGGCCAUACCAGCCUGUACGCCCGAUCUCGUCCGAUCUCGGAAGCUAUGCAGGGUCCGGCCUGGUUAGUACUUGGAUGAAUAAAAGCUAAUAUGGUCCAAACAAUAAUU